rnacentral:lncRNA from 1 species
AUGAUGUUGAUGUUGGUGAUGAUAAUGAUGAUGAUGAUGAGUACAUGCCCCCUGAAGAGAGCUUGAGGAGCCCCAGUUCAGUUACUGAAGCUGCCAAUACUGGGAGAAGAAAUGCCGAAGAAUUCAGUUUUGAGUCCUCCCACCAUGACAUGUCAGAAAUAAGUGAGAAGCCUGAGGUUGAGGUCACCAUUGAAGAAGAUGAUGACGACUAUCCACCACCUGACAAGAGGCAGAAGAGCACCAAGUCGGCUAAUGAAGGGGCCAGUACUGGGAGAAGAAAUGCAGAAGAGUCCAAUUCUGAUUCCUCCCACGAUGACUCGUCAGAAGCAAGUGAGGAUUCUGAGCCUGAAAUCACUAGUCAAGAUGAUGAUGAUGAUGAGUAUCUGCCGCCUAGCAAGAGAAAGAGGAGGAGGAACACCAGGUCGGCUAAGGAAACUGCCAAUAGAAGGAGAAGAAAAGCAAAAUAUUUCAACAGCAGUAAGAUGAUUUUAUCUCCCUGCUUUGUUUUAUGA